UGAGGAAUAUUGGACAAUGGGCGGAAGCCUGAUCCAGCCAUGCCGCGUGCAGGAAGACUGCCCUAUGGGUUGUAAACUGCUUUUGUACGGGAAGAAACCUCCCCUCGUGAGGGGAGCUGACGGUACCGUAAGAAUAAGCAUCGGCUAACUCCGUGCCAGCAGCCGCGGUAAUACGGAGGAUGCAAGCGUUAUCCGGAAUCAUUGGGUUUAAAGGGUCCGUAGGCGGGCAAUUAAGUCAGGGGUGAAAGUCUGCGGCUCAACCGUAGGACUGCCCUUGAUACUGGUUGUCUUGAAUGGUUGUGAAGCGGUUAGAAUGAGCAGUGUAGCGGUGAAAUGCAUAGAUAUUGCUCAGAAUACCGAUUGCGAAGGCAGAUCGCUAACAACGCAUUGACGCUGAGGGACGAAAGCGUGGGGAGCGAACAGG
rnacentral:rRNA from 1 species